rnacentral:rRNA from 1 species
CMGAAAAWAAKGGUUGUUCUAWUCCAGAYCCWRUUUUUCCCMAAGGGCCCCSYUKAGGGGGKGAUGRAUAUKGUUYYGWWWMACCCUUAGAGUUUGAUCCUGGCUCAGAACGAACGCUGGCGGCGUGCUUAACACAUGCAAGUCGAACGUGAUCCAGAGCUUGCUCUGGUGAAAGUGGCGCACGGGUGAGUAACGCGUGGAUAACCUGCCCUGGUAUCUGGGAUAACAUCUCGAAAGGGGUGCUAAUACCGGAUAAGCCUACGGGAUCUUCGGAUUCUGCAGGAAAAGGAGGCCUCUAUUUAUAAGCUACCGUAUCAGGAUGAGUCCGCGUACCAUUAGCUAGUUGGUGGGGUAAUGGCCCACCAAGGCUACGAUGGUUAGCUGGUCUGGGAGGAUGAUCAGCCACACUGGAACUGAGACACGGUCCAGACUCCUACGGGAGGCAGCAGUGGGGAAUUUUGCGCAAUGGGGGAAACCCUGACGCAGCAACGCCGCGUGAGUGAUGAAGGCUUUCGGGUCGUAAAGCUCUGUCAGAGGGGAAGAAAUGAGUCUGGCUAAUAUCCAGAUUUCUUGACGGUACCCUCAAAGGAAGCACCGGCUAACUACGUGCCAGCAGCCGCGGUAAUAC